rnacentral:lncRNA from 1 species
GUAGAGUUGAGAGCCAGACCGACAUUUUUACAAGAGAUUCGUGAAGCUCAGAAAGAUGAUAAGGAGUUGCAAGCUAAGAUGACUCAGUGUGAGACGGAAUAUGAAUCUGAUUUUGGUAUUGGUGUUGAGGGAUGUUUAAUGUUCACAAAUAGAGUUUGUGUACCCAAAGGCAAUGAGCUUAUUCAGAAGAUUCUGUGAGAGGCACAUAGUGGUUGUUUG